rnacentral:rRNA from 1 species
AACGAACGCUGGCGGCAGGCCUAACACAUGCAAGUCGAACGAUAAGCCACCUUCGGGUGGUGGACAGUGGCAGACGGGUGAGUAACGCGUGGGAACGUGCCUUUCGGUUCGGAAUAACCC